rnacentral:rRNA from 1 species
AAUGAACGCUGGCGGCAUGCCUAACACAUGCAAGUCGAACGAGAUCCUUCGGGGUCUAGUGGCGUACGGUUGCGUAACGCGGGGGAAUUUGCCCUUAGGUUCGGAAUAACUGUUAGAAAUGACUGCUAAUACCGGAUGAUGACGUUAAGGCCAAUGUUUUAUCGCGUGAGGUUGAGCCGGCGUAGGCUUAGAUAGUUGGACUGGUAAAGGCGCACCAAGGCGAGGAUCUUUAGCUGGACUGAGAGGAUGAGCAGCCACACUGGGACUGAGACACGGCCCAGAAUCCUACGGGAGGCAGCAAUGGGGAAUAGUGGACAAUGGGCGCAAGGCUGAUGCAGCAAGGCCGCGUGAGUGAUGAAGGCCUUAGGGUUGUAAAGCGCUUUUAACCGGGAUGAUAAUGACAGUACCGGGAGAAUAAGCCCCGGCUAACUCCGUG